AUUUAUGUAGUUUAAAAAAAACAUUAUAAUUUCAUUAUAAAAAUAAUUUUAAUAAUAAAUUUAUAAUUU
rnacentral:tRNA from 1 species